rnacentral:rRNA from 1 species
AGCGAACGCUGGCGGCAGGCCUAACACAUGCAAGUCGAACGAACUCUUCGGAGUUAGUGGCGGACGGGUGAGUAACACGUGGGAACGUGCCUUUAGGUUCGGAAUAACUCAGGGAAACUUGUGCUAAUACCGAAUGUGCCCUUCGGGGGAAAGAUUUAUCGCCUUUAGAGCGGCCCGCGUCUGAUUAGCUAGUUGGUGAGGUAAAGGCUCACCAAGGCGACGAUCAGUAGCUGGUCUGAGAGGAUGAUCAGCCACAUUGGGACUGAGACACGGCCCAAACUCCUACGGGAGGCAGCAGUGGGGAAUCUUGCGCAAUGGGCGAAAGCCUGACGCAGCCUUGCCGCGUGAAUGAUGAAGGUCUUAGGAUUGUAAAAUUCUUUCACCGGGGACGAUAAUGACGGUACCCGGAGAAGAAGCCCCGGCUAACUUCGUG